rnacentral:misc_RNA from 1 species
GAAAUAUAUCACAUAAAUACACCAACUGUAACUACAACCCUAAUAAUAUUUCAAAGCAACCAAAUUCCAAAACAACAUGUACGCACCUGGCAGCCACAAUGUUACAUGAAAUUCAUAAGAACGUUUCCCUUUUCUCCUUUUAAUUUAUAAAACUACAAACCCACCAUUCACCCAUAAAAAAACAAACCCAUAAAGAAAUGAACAAAAGGAACUCUAUUUAUAGGUAUAGUUUGAUGCCUGCUGAUUUGAAAUUCCCUAGUAGCUCUUAAAAGAAAUUUAUCAAAGGAAUAAAAAGCCUAACAAGGUAAAAGUACAAGAUUUUUUAAAUAAAAAUUAUAUAAUAUAUUUGGAAGUAAAGAAAUGAAAUGGAAACUGUCAUGUACUUAUCAAAUAAGAAAAGGGAACCAUAACAUCAUUUCCAUAAGCAUGCACAGUCAAUGGUCAGGUUGCUAAAUGAUAAGGUCGGUUAGGUGCAUAUCGCGCAAGUUUUAACACACAUGUACAUUCCUUACAUGCAGGAUAAGUAGUGCAAAUGACCAUAAGAUCAUUAUAAAAAGUAGCACCUGAUGUGCUCUAGACAAGUAGCAUAAGAGAGGCACUAUUCCUUGAUAUUCGGCAUCCGCCACAAUAACUAAAAUUAAAUCAAAGUGGAUUGCGACAGAUAUUUACUCAAACUAGAAGACUACCAAAAAAGCAAAGGAUAUGCUUACAAAUGAAAAACAAAGCUGCUAGAUAACAAUGAACAAAUGUACACACAAAGUAUAGUUAAUAAACCCCUCCUAUUUAUUAAAUCACCUUUGGAACAAAUGUACACAUGGAAACACGGCCACGAACAAAGAAUAGUAAAUAAACAAAUAUAUUGGUCAGUUACUACAAGAUCAUUUAUAGCUGGAUAAUUAUCACAACUGCCAAGUUGCCAAUUACCGAACAGUAGUUGCUAAUUGAGCAAUCCAAAAAAACAGGGAAAAAAAAAAUCUCCAUGUUCUACAUGGUACGGAUACUGUAAACUUAAAAAAUAAAUAAAAAUAAAAUAAAUUAGAUAAGCACCAUUUAAGGUUUAAGUGCUCUACUUUCCUCCAUUUUCAAUGAAUUAGAGGAAAGGCCAUAAGCUGCAUGAUGAAAAUUUCAAUUUCGUUCAUUCUACUUUCCCUCCAUUUCUCAGCAACCACACACACACACACACACA